UACAGAGGGGGCAAGCGUUGUUCGGAAUUACUGGGCGUAAAGGGCGCGUAGGCGGCCUUCUAAGUCAGACGUGAAAUCCCUCGGCUCAACCGGGGAACUGCGUCUGAGACUGGAGGGCUUGAAUCCGGGAGAGGGAUGUGGAAUUCCAGGUGUAGCGGUGAAGUGCGUAGAUAUCUGGAGGAACACCGGUGGCGAAGGCGGCAUCCUGGACCGGUAUUGACGCUGAGGUGCGAAAGCGUGGGGAGCAAACAGG
rnacentral:rRNA from 1 species